rnacentral:miRNA from 1 species
UGUGUAGAGGUGGGAAAAUAUGCC